UGAGGAAUAUUGGUCAAUGGGCGCAAGCCUGAACCAGCCAUCCCGCGUGAAGGAUGAAGGCCCUAUGGGUCGUAAACUUCUUUUAUACACCAAGAAAAAGCAGGACGUGUCCUGCCCCGACGGUAGUGUAUGAAUAAGCAUCGGCUAACUCCGUGCCAGCAGCCGCGGUAAUACGGAGGAUGCAAGCGUUAUCCGGAUUCAUUGGGUUUAAAGGGUGCGUAGGCGGCUUUUUAAGUCAGUGGUGAAAUCUUGCCGCUUAACGGUAAAAUUGCCAUUGAUACUGAUAAGCUUGAGUACAAUUGAGGUAAGCGGAAUGUGUAGUGUAGCGGUGAAAUGCUUAGAUAUUACACAGAACACCGAUUGCGAAGGCAGCUUACUAAACUGUUACUGACGCUGAUGCACGAAAGCGUGGGGAGCGAACA
rnacentral:rRNA from 1 species